rnacentral:rRNA from 1 species
CCUACGGGUGGCAGCAGUGAGGAAUAUUGGUCAAUGGACGAGAGUCUGAACCAGCCAAGUAGCGUGAAGGAUGACUGCCCUAUGGGUUGUAAACUUCUUUUAUAUGGGAAUAAAAUGUUCCACGUGUGGGAUUUUGUAUGUACCAUAUGAAUAAGGAUCGGCUAAUUCCGUGCCAGCAGCCGCGGUAAUACGGAGGAUCCGAGCGUUAUCCGGAUUUAUUGGGUUUAAAGGGAGCGUAGGCGGAUUGUUAAGUCAGUUGUGAAAGUUUGCGGCUCAACCGUAAAAUUGCAGUUGAAACUGGCAGUCUUGAGUACAGUAGAGGUGGGCGGAAUUCGUGGUGUAGCGGUGAAAUGCUUAGAUAUCACGAAGAACUCCGAUUGCGAAGGCAGUUCACUGGACUGCAACUGACACUGAGGCUCGAAAGUGUGGGUAUCAAACAGGAUUAGAUACCCCAGUAGUC